rnacentral:rRNA from 1 species
UACGGAGGGGGCUAGCGUUGUUCGGAAUUACUGGGCGUAAAGCGCACGUAGGCGGCUUCGCUAGUCAGAGGUGAAAGCCUGGGGCUCAACCCCAGAACUGCCUUUGAGACUGCGACGCUUGAAUCCGGGAGAGGUGAGUGGAAUUCCGAGUGUAGAGGUGAAAUUCGUAGAUAUUAGGAAGAACACCAGUGGCGAAGGCGGCUCACUGGACCGGCAUUGACGCUGAGGUGCGAAAGCGUGGGGAGCAAACAGG